rnacentral:rRNA from 1 species
GGUGGAUGCCUUGGCAACAGGAGCCGAAGAAGGACGUGGGAAUCUGCGAUAAGCCUGGUGGAGUUGAUAACCGAGCGUUUGAUACCAGGAUUUCCGAAUGGGGUAACCCCGCAUGCAUUGCUUCGGUGAUGUGUGUGACCGCUGGUUGAAUGUAUAGGCCAGUUGGAGGGAACGCGGGGAAGUGAAACAUCUCAGUACCUGCAGGAAGAGAAAACAAAAGUGAUUCCGUUAGUAGUGGCGAGCGAACGCGGACCAGGCCUGGUCUGAAAUAAGGAGAAGUAUCUGGGAAGGUACGCCGUAGUGGGUGAUAGCCCCGUAUCCGUAAAAUGAAGACCUUUUAGAGUAGGGCGGGACACGUGAAAUCCUGUCUGAACAUGGGGGGACCACCCUCCAAGCCUAAGUACUCCUUACCGACCGAUAGUGAACAAGUACCGUGAGGGAAUGAUGAAAAGAACCCCGAUGAGGGGAGUGAAACAGAUCCUGAAACCGGAUGCCUACAAGCUGAUGGAGCUCUUCGGAGUGACAUCGUACCUUUUGUAUAAUGGGUCAGCGACUUACAUUCAGUGGCAAGCUUAACCGAGUAGGGAAGGCGUAGCGAAAGCGAGUCCGAAUAGGGCGUCUAGUCGCUGGGUGUAGACCCGAAACCAGAUGAUCUAUCCAUGGCCAGGUUGAAGCGACGGUAAGACGUCGUGGAGGACCGAACCCACUUAGGUUGAAAACUGAGGGGAUGAGCUGUGGGUAGGGGUGAAAGGCCAAUCAAACUCCGUGAUAGCUGGUUCUCCCCGAAAUGCAUUUAGGUGCAGCGUC